AUUGAACGCUGGCGGCAUGCCUUACACAUGCAAGUCGAACGGUAACAGGUCUUCGGAUGCUGACGAGUGGCGAACGGGUGAGUAAUACAUCGGAACGUGCCUAGUAGUGGGGGAUAACUACUCGAAAGAGUGGCUAAUACCGCAUGAGAUCUACGGAUGAAAGCAGGGGAUCGCAAGACCUUGUGCUACCAGAGCGGCCGAUGGCAGAUUAGGUAGUUGGUGGGAUAAAAGCUUACCAAGCCGACGAUCUGUAGCUGGUCUGAGAGGACGAUCAGCCACACUGGGACUGAGACACGGCCCAGACUCCUACGGGAGGCAGCAGUGGGGAAUUUUGGACAAUGGGCGAAAGCCUGAUCCAGCAAUGCCGCGUGCAGGAUGAAGGCCUUCGGGUUGUAAACUGCUUUUGUACGGAACGAAAAGCCCCGGGUUAAUACCCUGGGGUCAUGACGGUACCGUAAGAAUAAGCACCGGCUAACUACGUGCCAGCCGCCGCAGUAG
rnacentral:rRNA from 1 species